GACGAACCGUCCAAACGUUAUUCGGAAUCACUGGGCUUACAGAGUUCGUAGGCGGUCUGGAAAGUUGGGUGUGAAAUCCCUCGGCCUAACCGAGGAACUGCGCUUGAAACUACCAGACUCGAGGGAGAUAGAGGAAAGCGGAACUGAUGGUGGAGCGGUGAAAUGCGUUGAUAUCAUCAGGAACACCGGUGGCGAAGGCGGCUUUCUGGGUCUUACCUGACGCUGAGGAACGAAAGCCAGGGGAGCGAACAGG
rnacentral:rRNA from 1 species